CAGUCGCCGCGGGAAUACGAAGGGUGCAAGCGUUAAUCGGAAUUACUGGGCGUAAAGCGUGCGUAGGCGGUGAGUUAAGUCUGCUGUGAAAUCCCCGGGCUCAACCUGGGAAUGGCAGUGGAUACUGGCUCGUUAGAGUGUGUCAGAGGAUGGUGGAAUUCCCGGUGUAGCGGUGAAAUGCGUAGAGAUCGGGAGGAACAUCAGUGGCGAAGGCGGCCAUCUGGGACAACACUGACGCUGAGGCACGAAAGCGUGGGGAGCAAACAGGAUUAGAUACCCGCGUAGUCCCUGUCUCUUAUAC
rnacentral:rRNA from 1 species